AUUGAACGCUGGCGGCAUGCCUUACACAUGCAAGUCGAACGGCAGCACGGGUGCUUGCACCUGGUGGCGAGUGGCGAACGGGUGAGUAAUACAUCGGAACGAACCUUAUCGUGGGGGAUAACGCAGCGAAAGCUGUGCUAAUACCGCAUACGCCCUGAGGGGGAAAGCGGGGGAUCGAAAGACCUCGCGCGAUUAGAGCGGCCGAUGCCUGAUUAGCUUGUUGGUGGGGUAAAAGCCCACCAAGGCGACGAUCAGUAGCUGGUAUGAGAGGACGAUCAGCCACCCUGGGACGGAGACACGGCCCAGACUCCUACGGGAGGCAGCAGUGGGGAAUUUUGGAGAAUGGGGGCAACCCUGAUCCAGCAAUGCCGCGCGAGUGAAGAAGGCCUUCGGGUUGUAAAGCUCUUUUGUCAGGGAAGAGGCACCGGCUCUAACACAGUCCGGGAAUGACGGUACCUGAAGAAUAAGCACCGGCUAACUACGUGCCAGCCGCCGCAGUAA
rnacentral:rRNA from 1 species